GAAAUGCGAUAAGUAGUGUGAAUUGCAGAAUUCAGUGAAUCAUCGAAUCUUUGAACGCACAUUGCGCUCUUUGGUAUUCCUUAGGGCAUGCCUGUUCGAGCGUCAUCUAAACCUUCAAGCCCUGCUUGGUGUUGGGUGCCUGUCCCGCCUCCGCGCGCGGACUCACCUCAAAUCCAUUGGCGGCCCCCGCGUCGGCCACGAGCGCAGCAGAAACGCGAACUCGUGAGCCCGUCCGGGCGGCUCCCAGAAGCUACACCCACCCAGUUUGACCUCGGAUCAGGUAGGGAUACCCGCUGAACUUAAGC
rnacentral:misc_RNA from 1 species